UUAAAAAGCUCGUAGUUGGAUUUCUGUCCGAGGCAGCCGGUCCGCACCUGGUGCGUGUAUCUGGUUUGGCUAGGGCAUCCUCUUGGGGAACGUCUCUGUGCUUGAUUGCAUGGGGCGGAAUUCAAGACUUUUACUUUGAGGAAAUUAGAGUGUUCACGGCAAGCUAUCGCUUUGAAUACAUUAGCAUGGAAUAAUAAUAUAGGGCGUAAGUUCUAUUUUGUUGGUUUCUAGGACAUACGCAAUGAUUAAUAGGGACAAUUGGGGGCAUUCGUAUUAACGCGUCAGAGGUGGAAUUCUUAGAUUGCGUUACGACGAACUACUGCGAAAGCAUUUGCCAAGGAUGUUUUCAUUGAUCAAGAACGGAAGUAUGGGGAUCGAAGACGAUUAGAUACCGUCGUAGUCUAUACCAUAAACUAUGCCAAUUAAGAGAUUGGAGGUCGUUCGUUUUAUGACUCCUUCAGCACCUUAUGAGAAAUCAAAAUUUUUGGGUUCCGGGGGGAGUAUGGUCGCAAGGCUGAAACUUAAAGGAAUUGACGGAAGGGCCCCACCAGGAGUGGAGCCUGCGGCUUAAUUUGACU
rnacentral:rRNA from 1 species